UACAGAGACUGCAAGCGUUAUUCGGAUUCACUGGGUUUAAAGGGUGCGUAGGCGGGCAGGUAAGUCCGUGGUGAAAUCUCUGAGCUUAACUCAGAAACUGCCAUGGAUACUAUUUGUCUUGAAUAUUGUGGAGGUAAGCGGAAUAUGUCAUGUAGCGGUGAAAUGCUUAGAUAUGACAUAGAACACCAAUUGCGAAGGCAGCUUACUACACAGUUAUUGACGCUGAGGCACGAAAGCGUGGGGAUCAAACAGG
rnacentral:rRNA from 1 species